UAAAGGAAGCGAUUCCGGCUACGGAUGGUCAUGCGUCGCAUUAGCUUGUUGGCGGGGUAACGGCCCACCAAGGCGACGAUGCGUAGGGGUUCUGAGAGGAAGGUCCCCCACACUGGUACUGAGACACGGACCAGACUCCUACGGGAGGCAGCAGUGAGGAAUAUUGGUCAAUGGCCGCAGGGCUGAACCAGCCAAGUCGCGUGAGGGAUGACGGUCCUAUGGAUUGUAAACCUCUUUUGUCAGGGAGCAAAGGGCGCCACGUGUGGCGUUUUGCGAGUACCUGAAGAAAAAGCAUCGGCUAACUCCGUGCCAGCAGCCGCGGUAAUACGGAGGAUGCGAGCGUUAUCCGGAUUUAUUGGGUUUAAAGGGUGCGCAGGCGGAAUGUCAAGUCAGCGGUAAAAUUUCGGGGCUCAACCCCGUCGUGCCGUUGAAACUGGCGUUCUUGAGUGAGCGAGAAGUAUGCGGAAUGCGUGGUGUAGCGGUGAAAUGCAUAGAUAUCACGCAGAACUCCGAUUGCGAAGGCAGCAUACCGGCGCUCAACUGACGCUCAUGCACGAAAGCGUGGGUAUCGAACAGGAUUAGAUACCCUGGUAGUCCACGCAGUAAA
rnacentral:rRNA from 1 species